rnacentral:lncRNA from 1 species
UUUUUUCUUUUCUUAUUUGAUGAAAACUAUAGAGAGGGAAAAACGAAGAGAGAGAAUAAAAACACAAUAUGUGAGUAUGAGAGAAUUUUUUUUUUUUUUUAAUUCAAUUGUAUUUACUAUGUAGUGUGCUUUUUUCUAACAAUCACGUGCUGCAAACCCAAACCCAUCUCCAAUGGGCUUUUCGUGUACAUUAAUAUUUGGGAAAUGGCAAUAAAGCUCGUGGUUGAUUCAAAAUGACAAAACUUGUGUUUGACUCCGGUCAUGUCAUGUUGAUAAUUAAUCAUGUGUAAAAGUUAAAAUCAAAUUCGGAUAGGAGGCAAGAGCUAAACAAAUGGAUACAAUUGAAAAAUAAAGGUUUUCAUUCAUCCAUGGAUAAGUUGCUAAUUAAGCUUGACAAAUAUUACCCUUUCCCUUUUCAUUUUUAUAUUUUUUAUCGGUGGAAGUGUAAUUCCUUUUUCCUGUAGCAACCAUCCAUCCACUCAAGUCCUGUUUCCAUACGUCCAAGAGAUGAAUAUAAAUAAUGUUGGUUUUAAUCAUCUAGGUAAUCAAGUGAGAAAGUGGGAUCACUUUUUCCUGAUGUCUACAACUCUUCAAACACAAUGUGGUCAUUUGUAUUCAUUUGAUUAAGAUUGGAUGGUCUAUUUCUAAGCGCAAUACAAGAUUAUUAAUAACCUGAGCGAAUUCAAUUUCAAUUAACAGUUGCAUGAGAAUUUUUCAUCCUUAAUUUGAUUGCAAAUGACAAUCGUGAGGCUCAUACAAGAUUCAAAAUUCACAAACAAUAUAUUGUUCCAAAAAAAAAAACAUCGUUAAUAUGGAUUAGUGUUUUCUAUUUCGUCUAUUUCUGAAUACUUGUCGUUUUUGAAAAAUAAUUUUUGUUUCAAAUUAUUUAAUGCUUUCAAGUUUCAGUGCAAUAUUGAUUAUUG